AUGUCUGGAGCAGGAUGCUAAAUAUAGUAGUUACGAUCUGUGAUUCUGUGACAUUUAUUUCUUCACGUCUCUUUUAGACGCCGUUCUUCGUUAUAUGAGGUUCAGUGUUGGGUUGACGGUCGAAAUAUGAAAUUGUCUCAGGCCGCCUGCAUUGUCCUUCGCGUAACAGUUCCACAGAGGACGAUCAGACCCUCUACUAAGGAAGUGGACAAAUACCCAAAGUCCGCUUUUGUGGUCGCAGCAUUAGGAUUUUCACUUUCUUCCUACAGCCUGAAGAAACUGAUAGAAAGCAAACGAGCGAUGAAGUAGUCUUUUUAAGAAAAGGAUUUUUAAAAAGUGUCAGUCUUUUUUACUGACUAGAGGAUCUCGACUUACGUAAAAUGUUCAUUAUGUGCAACUUUAACCAAAUUCCUAUAUUUGCGUACAAAAAAUAUUAUUUCAAAUUCAUUUUCACUAUCAAUUUAUCCGAUAUUGUCAAUAGCUAGAUGUAAGUAAUAAAUAAAUUUGUGAGUUUUUGUCUUCUAA